CUUUGAGAGUUCGUUUAUUGGACGAGAUCGUGAAGACCAGAUUGUCCUUCUGUUCUUCGAGCUGCGGCUUCUCUUUUCUGACCACGAUUCCCAAGAGCUGGUCUUCCAGUCCUGCGCACAGGAUAAUAAGUCUCUGAUGACCGCAGGGUCGGCCAGGAAUUGUUUCACAUCGAGCUGGGGUGACGUUGGAAUUUCUUUUUCUUGCACCUUCGAGUUCGUUCGCGGACACCAUUGGAAAUUAGAGAACAAAAACAUCGAUACUUUUGGUUUAUUAAAUUUUAUAUCACUGCCGACUACUUUUCAAAAAAAGUGGUCAUCUUUCCAGAAAAAUGUUGAACGAUCAUCUUGCUGUCAGAAAUCUCAGAAUAAAACUAUCUUGCAAUCAUCUUUCUGGAAGAAUGAUAGUCAUAUUUAAAUAAAACUUUGUAUUAAAA